GUGAGGAAUUUUGCGCAAUGGCCGCAAGGCUGACGCAGCAACGCCGCGUGGGUGAUGAAGGCCUUCGGGUCGUAAAGCCCUGUCAGGUGGGAAGAAAGGCUUGGAGAAGCAACGCUUUGAGUUUGACGGUACCAUCGGAGGAAGCACCGGCUAACUCUGUGCCAGCAGCCGCGGUAAGACAGAGGGUGCAAGCGUUGUCCGGAUUGACUGGGUGUAAAGGGCGUGUAGGCGGCCGAGUAAGUCUGACGUGAAAACAUCACCGCUCAACGGGAUGUACGCGUUGGAAACUGUUCGGCUUGAGUACAGGAGAGGUUAACGGAAUUCCAGGUGUAGCGGUGGAAUGUGUAGAUAUCUGGAGGAACACCGGUGGCGAAAGCGGUUAACUGGCCUGUGACUGACGCUGAGGCGCGAAAGCCAGGGGAGCAAACGGGAUUAGAAACCCCAGUAGUCC
rnacentral:rRNA from 1 species